GACGAACGCUGGCGGCGUGCCUAAUACAUGCAAGUUGAGCGAUGAAGAUUGGUGCUUGCACCAAUUUGAAGAGCAGCGAACGGGUGAGUAACGCGUGGGGAAUCUGCCUUUGAGCGGGGGACAACAUUUGGAAACGAAUGCUAAUACCGCAUAACAACUUUAAACAUAAGUUUUAAGUUUGAAAGAUGCAAUUGCAUCACUCAAAGAUGAUCCCGCGUUGUAUUAGCUAGUUGGUGUGGUAAAGGCUCACCAAGGCGAUGAUACAUAGCCGACCUGAGAGGGUGAUAGGCCACAUUGGGACUGAGACACGGCCCAAACUCCUACGGGAGGCAGCAGUAGGGAAUCUUCGGCAAUGGACGAAAGUCUGACCGAGCAACGCCGCGUGAGUGAAGAAGGUUUUCGGAUCGUAAAACUCUGUUGGUAGAGAAGAACGUUGGUGAGAGUGGAAAGCUCAUCAAGUGACGGUAACUACCCAGAAAGGGACGGCUAACUACGUG
rnacentral:rRNA from 1 species